UCCAGGUGGACUUGAUGACUUUGUACUCACUCAUACAGUCCCAGAACCUCUAAUCUUCAGUUCAUUGGCGCGUGCACCCAAUGGAACCCUUAUUCAGUCCUUCACAACAAACCAGUUCUUAAGAAUUUCUAACAUCGGGAGACGUGUCUUCAUUAAUAAUGCGCAUAUUGUGACAAGAAAUGUGUGUUCAAGUGAUACGAUAAAGUGCCAUGGAAUCAGCGCAGUCAUUAACACUUCGUUGAAUCAGACAGUUAGCUAGUGAAUGUUGUCAGUCUUGUUAAAAUCUAUUAACUGAUUAUCAAUAAAAAUUUAAGAUGACUACUUGUACAAUUUUUUUCUGAUGGAAUUUUUUGCAAUCUAUAAAAUAUCGCAAUUAUUACAAAAUACACAGUUCUUGAAAUCACGGCACAGUAUAUGCAAAAGAAAAGAUCAAGUCUGACAUUUUUAUGUUUAACGGUUCCAGAAUACAUCAAGCUCGAAUGCAGCUCAAAUGAUCAAUAUAAAAAGUAAACUUACGAUUUCAACAUUGUAAUCGAGUUUGCAACAAAAUAUUUCAUUAUCAGGGUCAGAUAGAGUUGUGAGAAAUCGGAACUCAUAUUACUAUUGUACGUGCAACAUUGCAGUAUCACAUUAUGAUAGCAAGAAGUAGAGUUCAACCCUACUGAUUUGUAGUUAAAUUGCUGUUUUCAUAUAGCUUAAUAAUCAAACAAGACAUAAAUGUACCUGAUGAGAUGAUGUAAAGGCCUACAAUCAACUUGUUCAUGCAUCAGAAUAGUUGAACCCUUCCUAAUCUUCUGCCGCUGAUUCUUCAAGAUGCUAACAUUUAUAUAACCAAGUACACAGCAUAUAUGGACCUCAGACUUGAAAAGAGAUCGACUUCUCUGUAGGCUAUAGCUUAGGCUAAAAGGCGGGUAACGUUCUGACACAGAUUG
rnacentral:lncRNA from 1 species